AUGUGUUAGUAAAUUAAAAUGGCGACGAUUUGUGAAUAUUGAAUAGACCUCUAGAGACAGACGUAUUUUAAUAAAAUAUCUUUCUAAAGAGAUUUACUUAUCUUUGAAUAAAAAUCGUGCUAUUAAUAAUACACAGAAUUUUCCAACAUGCGUUCAGUGGUGGAAAUUGGGGCUAGUGUCCCAGCCUUUUUGGGAAAAUUAUGGAAAUUGGUUAAUGAUUCAGAGACAAAUCAUUUGAUUUCAUGGAGCCCUGGAGGGAAAACUUUUGUGAUAAAGAAUCAAGCAGACUUUGCCAGAGAAUUGUUACCACUGUAUUAUAAACACAAUAACAUGGCCAGCUUCAUAAGGCAGUUAAAUAUGUAUGGCUUUCAUAAAAUAACAUCAGUUGAGAAUGGUGGAUUAAGAUAUGAGAAAGAUGAGAUUGAAUUCUCCCACCCAUGUUUCAUGCGAGGCCAUGCCUAUCUAUUGGAGCACAUUAAAAGAAAGAUUGCGAACCCCAAAUCAAUUGUUGCGAGCAAUGAAAGUGGUGAGAAAAUUCUUCUAAAGCCAGAGUUAAUGAACAAAGUAUUAGCAGAUGUGAAACAAAUGAAAGGCAAACAGGAGAGCCUUGAUGCUAAGUUUAGUGCCAUGAAGCAGGAAAACGAAGCACUAUGGAGGGAGGUUGCAAUUCUACGACAAAAACAUAUCAAACAACAGCAAAUUGUAAACAAUCUAAUACAAUUCCUGAUGUCUCUCGUCCAACCAACAAGAGCUCCCAACUCGAGUGGCAAUAAUGUGGGUGUCAAACGACCAUACCAGCUGAUGAUAAACAAUGCUGCCCACAAUUCAGCAACAGAAGGUUACCCUGGCAGAUUGAAGAACAUGAAACUCGACAAGGAUGCUCUCUUGGAAGAAUUGGCAGAAGACAAUUUGGAGGAUGGACCAACUAUUCAUGAACUAGCUCAUGAUGAUAUCUUACACAGUGAAGCAUCUCAGGAUUCAUUGGAUCCAUCUAGAUAUGUGUAUGUAUCUGUCUUGGAUUCUGAAAACCGGACAGCAAACAAAAAUACUGAUCCAGCACAGUACCAUGUCACAAUGGAGGAUGGGGAUGAUAUAGAAACAGAUCGUGCAAGAUUAUCAUUUCCAAUAAACACUACAGGCUUCUUAAGGAUACCUGACACACAACCUAUAGUUUCAUCACCAUCUCCCACGUCCGCGUCACCAUUGACCAAUCCUAUUGAACAAGCUGUCAACAGUGUGGUCACCUCGCCUGGUACAUCAAAGCCAAGGACUGGCAGUAGCCCGAAAACUGUACCGUCUCCUAAGAUUUUACUGUCACCGAGCAAUUACCACAUUAUUAACCCGUCAGCUGACUUCAAGCUUCCCGCUGAGAUAUUUGCAAGUGAUGAUUCCAUUAGCGAUGCUGGUGUCAACACAGCAGAAGAACUCUCCGGUGUCAACACUCUUCAAGAUCAACUCUCAGGCGAACAAAUGACAAAAGACAAAAUGUUAGGUGGAAUCAAUAUUAAAGUUGAGAACAGUGGCAAAAGGAAUUUCAAAGUUGCUAAGAAAGCAAAGAAAACUAAGGAACAAAGUCCGUGCCCGUUGAACUUAGCUGACAUUAAGACAGAACUUCAGGACGAUCUAGACUGGAACAAUAUGUCCUUGGCUACCAUGAACAAUAACUCUAAUAGGUUGCAGGCUAUGUAUAGGAGAGAUAACAUCAAUCAAAAUCGGGAAGAUUAUCCUUCCCACUUUGGAACAAAUCCACACAACAACAAGAAUGACAUUGACGACCAUUUAGAUACAAUGCAAACAGAUUUGGAAUCACUCAGGGAGCUGCUCAGAAGCGACUCCUACUCGUUGGAUACGAACACGUUGCUAGGGAUUGAACAAAGUGUAAGAUCAACAGUUUCUCACCAUACCAAAGACAAUCUUUUCGGAUCGGAUGAUCCAUUUUAUGGGCUCUCUUACAACUCGUCGGAUGAACGAGCAAAGACCAACAAUGCUGAUACAACAAAACAGUAUCCGAUGAUUGAUUUUGAUUGGCUGAUCGGUAGCAGCGAUACAACGCCAGCGAACUAACUACCUCAUCCCCACAUUAUGGAACGCUGGCCGCUGUAUCACAAAAUAUACUUUUGGAUUUAUUUUUGCUGAGGGGAGUCAGUUAAUAUCGUAUACAGGGAAUCUUCCAGACUUUGGGGAUAUAAGUAUUCCCGAGCUGGACGCCGAGAAUUCCCA
rnacentral:misc_RNA from 1 species